AGCGAACGCUGGCGGCAGGCUUAACACAUGCAAGUCGAGCGGGCCCUUCGGGGUCUGCGGCGUACGGGUUAGUAACCCGUGGGAACGUGCCUACUUGGCUGGAAUAACUAUGGGAAACUAGGGAUAAUACCGGAUACGCCCUUUUGGGGGAAGGUUUACUGCCGGAAGAUCGUCCCGCGUCUGAUUAGCUAGUUGGUGGGGUAACGGCCUACCAAGGCGACGAUCAGUAGCUGGUCUGAGAGGAUGAUCAGCCACACUGGGACUGAGACACGGCCCAGACUCCUACGGGAGGCAGCAGUGGGGAAUAUUGGACAAUGGGCGCAAGCCUGAUCCAGCCAUGCCGCGUGAGUGAUGAAGGCCUUAGGGUUGUAAAGCUCUUUUAUCCGGGACGAUAAUGACGGUACCGGAGGAAUAAGCCCCGGCUAACUUCGUG
rnacentral:rRNA from 1 species